UACGAAGGGGGCUAGCGUUGCUCGGAAUCACUGGGCGUAAAGGGUGCGUAGGCGGGUUUUUAAGUCAGGGGUGAAAUCCUGGAGCUCAACUCCAGAACUGCCUUUGAUACUGAAGAUCUUGAGUCCGGGAGAGGUGAGUGGAACUGCGAGUGUAGAGGUGAAAUUCGUAGAUAUUCGCAAGAACACCAGUGGCGAAGGCGGCUCACUGGCCCGGUACUGACGCUGAGGCGCGAAAGCCAGGGGAGCAAACGGG
rnacentral:rRNA from 1 species